rnacentral:misc_RNA from 1 species
AAUGCACCAGGACUUGAUGGAAAUGUGAGGUUUACAAUGGCCCAGACAGCAGCUGUACGCAGUCGGCUGUCAUUACUCCGUAGGAACUUGAUUAUAAAAGAUUGAUUUUCAUUGUCCACUUGUGGAAGAAGUUGUUGCAUAACUGCUUCCUUAUGAAACUCAUUUCCACUGGCCACAUUGCCAAGCACAUACAUUCCCUGUAUGCCAAUUUCAGCUUUUGAAGUGCUCUCUAAUUGCUUUCUAACAGCAUCUAAU